rnacentral:lncRNA from 1 species
GCCAUCUCCAUCGUGGCCAUUCUCAAAGGCCAAUCUGUAACACCAACAUAAUCCUAUCUAGACCAAUCCAAACCCAACUUCUCCCCAAGCUGGAAAGAGAACUGUCUUUUUAAAAAUAUUUUCCUUUUUUCUCAAUCACAUGAAAAAACAAUUUUUUACAGUUUGGGACAAAUCCUCACCUACCCUCCAUCAUCUCCUCCCUCCAUGAGAUGGCAAGCAAUCUGAGAGAGACUUUCUGAGUCUUUCCAGAUUAGUCACUUUGUGAAAGAGAUCUCACACAAAAGAAAAGUGAAGGAAUGGGUGAAAUCUCAUAUGUCUCAGGCUGCAUUCAGACUGCAUCAGUUCUUUCUCUGGAAGCAGACAGCAUCUUUCAUCAUGAGCCCUUGAGGACUGUCUUCGAUCUCUGUAGAGCUACGAAUAGCUAAGCCAUUCAUAAAUGUUCAUCAUAUAUUAUUGAGGUUACUGUGUGCAAUGUUCUCCUGGUAUUUCUCACUUCAUUUUGCAUCAGUUCACAUGUAUUUCCAGGAGUUUCUUAAAUCAUCUUUCUCAUUAUUUCUUAUAGCACAAAAGGCUUCCAUUACAAUCAUCUAUCAAAAUGUGUUCAGCCAUUCCCCAGUGUAUGGACAUCCCCUCGGUUUCCACUUCUUUGCCACCACAAAAAGAGCUGCUAGAAAACUAUUUUUGUACAGGAAGGACCUUCAAAUCAUUACAUGGGCAAAGGUCCCAAGGCUGUGGAAGGAAACCCCACUAAGAAUCUGCUGGGCCAUUUAGCUACCUCCUCCUCCUCCUCCUCCUCCUCACUGACCUUUCAACAGCUCAAGGAGGCAGCUUACCAGUGAUGUUCUCCAUCUCUAGCAUUCUUGGUCACAAAGACUAAGACUAUCUCCCGACAAAAGGGUGGAAGGUUCUUCAGCAUGAAUGUAUCCUUCAUGUGACCAAAGCCCUCGGCUGGUAGCACAGAUUUGAAAACUGCCACAAAGGCUACCCACCCCCCAGCCACAGCACUGAAGGAGAUUCUAAUCAAUUCCAGACUGGAAACUUCCCCCAUCUGCCAACACACCUUCUGAUGACCUGGAAUUUGUCGAAAUUUGGGUCCAAAAAAGCAUCAAGUUAGAAAUGAAAUGAAGGAACCCAAACAGAUGAUCCAAUUCAUAUAAGUGAGAAACCAGGAUGGACUCUGCACACCACAUUGGUGUAAGAGGAGCAAGGAAAAGAAACCUGGGCGAAAGUGGUGUGUGCAUUAACAAUGAGGUCUUAGUGGAGUGCUUUUCAUUUUAGAUAUCUAUUUAUCUAUCUAACUCUUUAUCAUCUAUCAUCUCUCUGUUUGUUUCUACCCAUCUAAUGUGUGUAUAAGAAAUUUAUAUUUCCCAGUCGAUCCUUUUCUUUCACCCCAUGACAAAGAGCAAUAUAACAAAGAAUAAAAAUGAAGGGAAUAACA